UCUCCGUAGGUGAACCUGCGGAGGGAUCAUUACUGAGUGAGGGCUUCGGUCCGACCUCCAACCCUUUGUGAACCAAACUUGUUGCUUCGGGGGCGACCCUGCCGCUUCGGCGGUGCGGCGCCCCCAGAGGCCAAUAAACACUGCAUCAUUGCGUCGGAGUUAAAGUAAAUUAAACAAAACUUUCAACAAAGGGUCUCUUGGUUCCAGCAUCGAUGAAGAACGCAGC
rnacentral:misc_RNA from 1 species